rnacentral:tRNA from 1 species
GUAAGCAUAGUUUAACUAAAACAUUAAGCUGUGGACUUAAAAACAAAGACUUAAAUCUUUUACUUACC